GACGAACGCUGGCGGCGUGCUUAACACAUGCAAGUCGAACGGAAAGGCCCUGCUUUUGUGGGGUGCUCGAGUGGCGAACGGGUGAGUAACACGUGAGUAACCUGCCCUUGACUUUGGGAUAACUUCAGGAAACUGGGGCUAAUACCAGAUAGGAGCUCCUGCUGCAUGGUGGGGGUUGGAAAGUUUCGGCGGUUGGGGAUGGACUCGCGGCUUAUCAGCUUGUUGGUGGGGUAGUGGCUUACCAAGGCUUUGACGGGUAGCCGGCCUGAGAGGGUGACCGGCCACAUUGGGACUGAGGUACGGCCCAGAGUCCUACGGGAGGCAGCAGUGGGGAAUAUUGCACAAUGGGCGGAAGCCUGAUGCAGCGACGCCGCGUGCGGGAUGACGGCCUUCGGGUUGUAAACCGCUUUCGCCUGUGACGAAGCGGGAGUGACGGUAAUGGAUAAAGAAGCACCGGCUAACUACGUG
rnacentral:rRNA from 1 species